AGCCAAGGAGAGAACCCUGCGAUCGCGCCUGGCCCAGCCCAGCCCCUAGGCAACCUGCGCCCGCCGCUGCAAUGGAGUGCCCCAGGCGGCCGCAAAUGCGUCAAGGAAGGGGAAGCCACAGGCCCCAGUAAGCCAAAGUCAAGCCCGUUUGCCAACCUGCGUGUCCAUGCCUGUAAGCCCUUCUCUCGGCCAAGGAAGAAAGGAAGAAAGAAAAAAGAAACCCAGGGGCCUGUAUCCCCUGAUUAAACACAGCACAGCACUCCAGGCAGACAUGCCCGGUGUCGGCUCCUUUGCACCAUUGACCUCAGGCCAGACACCUCAGCGCCAACAAUGGGACCUCGGCCUUCCGGCUAGGUUUGCCCCAGGCUGGGCAGGAAACCAGCUCAGCCGAAGACAGGGGCCAUUUCGAGCAGUGGGACCCCAAGACAGCAAACCCAGCCCAGUCACGACUUGACACUUAGGACAAUAUCUAUCUCUAUAGAAUUUUAGCACGAUAUGGCUUUUUCUCCCAGAAAACAACAAAUAAACCAGCACCAAGCAGACACAAAGAAACAAAAAGUCAGAACAAACCAGCCCUGCACAGAUGUAACGGCCCAGGAGAUGGCGAGUGUAGGAGGGAGGAACAGGGCUCCAGCACAGGUGCGAGUUCCUGGGCAGAGGCUGAAGACAGAGAGAGGGGACCAGCGCUCGGAAAGUGAAAAAACUGCGUCGCCUGGAGAUUCAUCAGGAAAAAUUAAAGUUGGCUGUGAGCUCCCGGAUCCGGUUUUCUCUAUUCAUUUUCUUCAGUUUCAUCCUGCGGUUCUGAAACCAGAUUUUCACUUGUCUGUCCGUGAGGUGGACGCUGCGGCUAAUCUCUAGGCGCCGCUCUCGAGUAAGGUACAUGUUGAACAGAAACUCCUUCUCCAGCUCCAGUGUCUGGUGCUUCGUGUAGGGGCAGCGCUUCUUCCGACCACUCUUUGCGGUGAGCCAGUUGGCUGCGUUUUCACCUUUGGAAUUGCCUGGCAUGUAAGAGAAUAAAGAGGGGAUGAUUAAGUCGAGGCCACACGGGCUGCCCGCGGGGGUGAAUUGCCUCGGUUUCUCCCAUAAGACAGAUGUCCCAAGUCACAGAGAAGAGAGUCGUGCCCCCGUUUUUGGCUUGCUGAGAGCAAGCAGUUCCUCCAACAGUCAUGAUAAAAAUUGAGUGGGCCUUCAAUCUGCAUGACCCUUCCAAUUUACAUUUCCCCCACUUUUCCAAACACCUGUUUUAGCACUAAGCCGUAGAUGCUUGCAGAAGGAAAGGCCUGGGAGGGCAGGCUGUACAUCUUGAACUUAACGCUUUUCUUUGCUUCUUGCCAUAUGGCAGACAAGCAUUUCCUGUAGCCCCCAGGCUAGGAGCACGGGGUGCUUUCUUGGAAGGUAGGCCAGGCAGCUUGGCUGUCUCACCCCAAGGCCCUGAUUGCCCAAGACUCGAUAAGGGGAGAAAGAAGGUCAUCAUUGGUCCAAUGGGGAAGGCAGGAAAAACCGAUUCGGGGGUCAAGGGCCCUCCCUCAAGUUUCUCCAGGAGCCAGGGGUAGAUAGCUGGGCGAUUCCGAGGUCCAGGGGAAGCGAAAUAGCCCUUCUUUGGCUCUCAGCUCAGGGCCCCCAGCUUCCAGGCCGGAUUUGCCUUUUCUUCUUCCCGCAACGAAGAUUCCCGCCCCUCAGCAACUUUGAAAAAAGCAUGGGGGAUCGUAAACUCGAACUUCGCCGGUUAAUGGGCUUAUUUAUUGGCGCUGGCGGCUGCUUAUUUUGGAUGCCUUACAAACAUCCGCGCUAUCUGCGGGCGAGCUACUUUCCCUCCCUCCCCCUCCCCCCGCGUGGGCCGCGCCGCGCAGGCUGGGCAGGGACCAGGGCUCUGGGUGCUCCCGGCCACAGGAAAGAGUGCACAGGAGGCCUGCUCGCUGGUGUCCUCGACCCUAAUCAGGGGGAGCUGAGGCCAGCGCCGAGGACUUCUUGCUGUGGGGCGCUAAGCCGGACAUGAAUUUUACUGCGUCCCCACGCCCAAAUAUUAAAAAGCAAGUUCACAAGGUCAGCCUGCCUGCAGCUUGGGCCAAGGCCGGCCUGCUGCUGCGCGGGCUCCUAGUUUUCUUAUCCUUCUCCUCCUUGCGUCUGCCUGUCUGCCCGCCUGACUGCAGCCCUCUGCAGCCCUGCUUACCCAGGGAGUCCUUCUCCGGCGAGGCUUUGCUGCUCUCGGAAGGGGCCGGGGAGAGCUCCUCCGCGGCCGAGGACGACGCGUGCGCCUCCUCGUCGCCCUGCGAGCCCCCGCCGCUGCCGCAAGCCAGCGUGGGGGGCGGCGGCGAAUCGAGGGCUCGCUCCUUCCGGGCCGCAUCGGCCGAGCCGGAGGCUAGCGCGGGCGGUGGAUCGAAACCGCGCCCCGGGGGCUGCGCGGGGAACGGGCCAGCCCCGAGUUGCUGCGCGCCGCCGCCGCCGCUGCCAUAGCCCUUGGCCGUGCCGUAGGCCUGAGAAAGGCGGAAGUAGCCAGGCACUGGCACCCCGCUGGAGGCGCCCAGGGCGCAGCCGUCCGGCGGCGGGCCCCGCGGGAAGGGAGCCAGUUCGGCAGCGGUGGCCGAGCCUUUGGGGCAUUUGUCCGCCGAGUCGUAGAGGCAGUAGGAGCUCUCUUCUUUGAUGUUCUGAGCGAAAGAGCACGAGGUGGCCUGCGGCGGGGGUUGGGGUGGUUGCGGCGGGGGCGGCGGCUGCUGCUGGGGUGGCGGCGGCGGCCCCUCAGGCGGCUCCAUCCGGCAGGACCGGGGCGCGUCUAGCCACAGGUCUAUGGGCGCGGGCCCGUAGCCGUGCGCCCCGGGACCUAGAACCCCGCCACCGCCGCCCGGCGACGCUGCCUCAUUGCGCUUGCCGCCCAGCGCAGGGAAGAGCCCGCAGCUCUGCAGCCCGUAGGGCAGGUCGGCGGCGGGCGGCAGGUAGACCCCGCCGUGGGCGUAGUAACCGCCACCUCCGCCGCCCCCCGCGCCACCGCCACCGCCGCCUGCCUCGCCUCUGCCCGAGCUGAUGAGCGAGUCGACCAAAAAAGAGUUCGCGGCGGGGCUCUCCGAGCAUGACAUUGUUGUGGGAUAAUUUGGCGAAGGGAGCAGAUAGCCCUUUCUGGCUGACAUUUCUUGUGCAAAACAUGCUGAAUACGAUUAGCAAUCCCCCCGCACCGCGGCGGGCGCCCGCAGCCAAUCCCGAGCCAGAGUUUCCGCGCGACCACUCCCAGUUUGGUUUCGUAGGCGCGGGGCCGCUCUCCGAGGGCGCCCUCAGAGCCCGCGAUUGAUAUAAAUAUGUAAUCUGUAUUGAUGGGCCAGGAGACGCACGCCCGACACCUUGGCCCGAAGGCCAGGAGCUGUGGGGGCUGCCCCAACGUGGCUGGUGGGGGGCCUGGCCAUUGGGCUCGCCCCGCCCCUACCCGGACGUGAGCCCCAUACCGGGGUCCGUUAGAAGCGCCCUUGGGCCCCGCGCAGUUAACAAGUGGGGUGUUUAUGGUGCGUGCCCAGUCUGCCUUGGGUGCUCACCAUCCCUGUGGCAGAAGCUGCCACUAGUCCCCGGUGUACUCUGACCACUGAAGGGGCCAUGUCGGGGACUCACGCGCUUCCCAUUCAGCUCUGGAUCUGGAGCUGGCCCCUUGUCUGAAUUCUGCCUCCCUAAAAGUGGCGAACCUGGCCCUAUGGCCGUCAGGAUUCUCAGAGUGUCAGGAGCCCAGAGUGAACUGGAAGCUGACUUGCCUCUACUUCCAGUAUCCAGUAUCUACUUCCAGUAUCCCACAUUUUUCCCCAAAAUGCAGUGGUUGUUCCCUAGCCCCUAACCCCCAACACUUUUCUCCCCUAGUCCGUUGAUCCAGUUAGGAUCUUCUCCUCUGGUGUUGUGCUCACCUAGCUUGCCUUCUCUACAACUCCUGUCAGUGGACUUUGGUGGGCUGGCAGGACUGGGGGUGGGAAGCGGCUGCCAGCCUUGAUGGAAAGACGGCCCCACUCCCACUCCCAAGGCCAGAGCCAGAUUCAAGCAUCCCCUCAUGACCUAGGGAAGACUCUAAGCCCACAGUCAUUUCGGGGAAGUAAAGUGCUGGCCCUGGGGUCCUUGGCUGGCCCAAAGUGAGAGACUUGGAGGGGUGUGCCCGGUGUACACCUCUGCUGCCUUAUGUUCCUGCUCUCCUGUUAGCUUUGGCACUCAUAUGCUCCUGGAGGCUACAACAAGAACCAGUGUCACUACACUCCUGCCUCUCUGUCCCCUCCCCUCUUCCCCUCCCUCCCAUACCCUCAGCUAGGGCAGUCCUUGCUCCUGUAGUGUGUGCAUUUUAACGAGGCCCCGGUGAGGAAAUCCCUUCCCUGCAAGGCCGGGCUGGGUUCCUGGUCCUGUUAUAAGAGCAUGUGGAGGCCAGGCCCUUUGCUCAGCAGGCUCACGGGCUCUGUUUUAGCCAACUGGAAAUGGUCGGCCUGGGGUGCUAGCUCCCAAGUGUGAGCCUCAUGCUAGUCUCAGGAAAUGCAACUUUUUCCGGCCAGAUCCAGUGGAGCCCGGGAGGUCGCUGCCUUGGACCUGGCCUGUGGGCUACAGGUCUCCAGGAUACUCCAGGCCUGCCCGCCCCUCCGGCUCCAGUCGGAGCUGGCAUUACUGAACGCCGGCAUCCUAGGAAAUAGACGGCUCAGGCCGAUGCCUUCAGCUGGGAAAGACUCUUGCAUCCGGGUCAUACGCGGCACUUCGCCUCCUUCCUCCCAGUGUGAAUCCAGCCCAAGGUGGAAGACGAGCCUGAGAGGACCCUGAAAGCGCAGAGAGAGCUGUCUAGGUAGAGCUCCAGCUCUGGCUUCUGAGAUUCAAGCAGCUGCGGUCGCUGCGGGCCGUGGCUGCUCCGAGCUCCGGGCCCAGAAGGCCGCUCCACCGCUAGCGCGGCACUCCAGCCACUUCAACCUCGGCGCCCCACGGUGACCCGGCCUUGAGGACUGAGCAUCAGGGUGCCGAGGAGGAGGAUGGAGAGAAAAAGAGAGAGAUAGAAGGAGAGACGGACAGAGGGAGAGAAAAGAGAGAGAGAAACAGGAGGGGAGAGAGAAUAAGAAAGCCAGUUCUCUCCAGCCUGACAGGGUCUUGAAGCUGCAGCAGCGGCUUAGAGGAAUCAAGACAGGGUCUGUGCCGAGAGAUCAUUAACUCUCCUUCGCUCUUCGCAUGCUCCUGCGCCCAAGGCCAAGGCAAAUUCUCUACCUGCUAGGCCCAUGAGACGGACGAACCUGAGUGCAGAAAAGCUUCAGAGCACCGCAGCCAGUGGCCCUAUCUUUAGCUUCCCGGAUCUGCCUGGUCCUUACUCUGCUCACCAGACGGGUGGAACUGGCUGGGACUGUUGCCCUUAGCAAUGCCACCUGGAAAUGCCACAGACCUGGGGACUGCCUAGGAAGGAAGCUUUGCUCUUCAGCACUGCCCAUGCCUCUCAGAAAAGCUGUGUCAUUUGGGAAGUGGGUCGCAAGAGCUUCGAGGUUUCCUCAUGGAUAAUGAGCCGUAGCAGGUCAGUGGGCCAGGACUUGGGCCUAGAGUCAUGCCUCUCCAGGCUAAAUGCAGAAAGCAACUUCCCAGGCCGACAUCUGGGAAGGUCCAGUAUAUGUUUGAGAUAGUGGAGGCCAUACAAAUAAAGUAAAAGACAAUGAUCUUAACCUAUCUUUCCUAACCUUUUAGGGAGACAGGACCCUUCUGGAAAAUCUAAGUUUUGACUCAUUCUGUGAAAAAUGCAUAUCUGUAUAUUCCCACAGUUUGAUCCAUCAUUUCAAAGGAGUUGACACACCCCUCAGUCUUUUCCUUGGGUCCUCCAGAGUCCCCCAGUGUCCUGGGACUUGGGGGCCCUGCCAAUUUGGCUGGUAAGACAAGCUGGGUGCCCUGCGGCAGACAGCUCGGGUCAGGGCCCUGUAGGGCAGCCAAAUGGGCUUCUAGGCUGAAUAGAAUCCAGGGACCUGCACGUGCCAACCAAGGUUACAAAAGUCAGUUUGUAUUACAUCUGCUACAAAAGGCUGCCCCAGCUGAAGAGUAGAGGAGCUGGAAGGCCUGCUAUGGGCCUCGUAGGCCGUGGCAUUGGCACUUGGGUCUUCAGUGACCUUUCUGUGGUGAGCCAGAUGUGUUUUUUUAGCAUGACUUUUUCCCCCUUGUAAUAAACCAAACGGGAUGUUGGGCUUGAGCUCCUUCUUGCUUUUAAAAAGAGUGUGUAAGCUCGUGUAUGGCAGCCCCUCUCUGGCCCAGGACUGCCUUCCAACUCCCACCAGGGCUUGCUGAGCGGGAAACGCAGCGAGACACUGCCUGUGAGCUGGCCGGCUGCAGGCGGGCCAGCUGCUGCUGGUUCAAAUGAGAGGAUACUAACGCAGCAGAAGCUCAAGUUAAACGCCUCCUUGGCCCUCUCAGUUGAUCUCCUAGCCCCCAGCAUCCCUGACCGACCCCCAAGGCUCCCAUGCUCUCUAGACUUUAACACUGAAGUGUUAGGUUUCUCAAUAAAAUAUUCCACUUAUUGAGCGCCUCGGCUUUCCUGAGAUUCC